CACAGACGGCUACACUGCAGAUAACCUAAGCUGAUGUAUGAUGAAUCCUGCCCCAGCUGCAUGGAGUUGUCUGGAUGAGAAGAAAGCUGCAAAAGGGAGGUAAUGAUGUGGAAGACAAAAAUGGUGGAAAUCGCUAGAAGAAGCCAGAUCUCAAGUGAAGGUUUGUGGAAAAUAAGUCAAAUACCAACAGAGAGAAAAUCAGAGCCUGGAGGCUCCCUGCUCCUCUGAUGCAAGCAGGUGCUGUGUAGGACUACAUGCCACAAACUGGCACAUGCAGAGGCAGUGAACCCAUAGGACACAGAGCUUUGCAAGAACCCGGUGGUCAGGGAAGGCUAUAAUUUAAAAGAACAGAAUGAGAUCAUGGCAAUAUUUUGUGCUCAGAAAAGAUUUUGAUGCAUUCGUAUUUUGCAUGUUGAAUGUUGACAUGUUUUUAAUGUGAACGGUUUGAAUGUUGAAAUAUUUUUAUUAGAAAAUGAAAUAAAAGAAA